GCCGGUUUUAGCUCGGAUGAGUAGAGCGCCUGCCUUGUAAACGGGAUGUCGGCGGUUCGAGUCCGUUAAUCGGCACCA
rnacentral:tRNA from 1 species